rnacentral:rRNA from 1 species
GACAGAGGAUGCAAGCGUUAUCCGGAAUGAUUGGGCGUAAAGCGUCUGUAGGUGGCUUUUCAAGUCCGCCGUCAAAUCCCAGGGCUCAACCCUGGACAGGCGGUGGAAACUACCAAGCUGGAGUACGGUAGGGGCAGAGGGAAUUUCCGGUGGAGCGGUGAAAUGCGUAGAUAUUGGGAGGAACACCAGUGGCGAAGGCGGCUCACUGGACCGGAACUGACGCUGAGGCGCGAAAGCGUGGGGAGCAAACGGG